rnacentral:rRNA from 1 species
GACGUAGGGCGCGAGCGUUGUCCGGAUUUAUUGGGCGUAAAGAGCUCGUAGGCGGCUUGUCGCGUCGACUGUGAAAACCCGCGGCUCAACUGCGGGCCUGCCGCCGAUACGGGCAGGCUAGAGUUCGGUAGGGGAGACCGGAAUUCCUGGUGUAGCGGUGAAAUGCGCAGAUAUCAGGAGGAACACCGGUGGCGAAGGCGGGUCUCUGGGCCGAUACUGACGCUGAGGAGCGAAAGCGUGGGGAGCGAACAGG